rnacentral:rRNA from 1 species
UGGGGAAUAUUGCACAAUGGGCGAAAGCCUGACGCAGCAACACCGCGUGAGGGAUGACGGCCUUCGGGUUGUAAACCUCUUUCAGCUCCGACGAAGCGAAAGUGACGGUAGGAGCAGAAGAAGCACCGGCUAACUACGUGCCAGCAGCCGCGGUAAUACGUAGGGUGCAAGCGUUGUCCGGAAUUAUUGGGCGUAAAGAGCUCGUAGGCGGUCCGUUGCGUCUGCCGUGAAAACCCGGAGCUCAACUCCGGGCCUGCGGUGGAUACGGGCGGACUAGAGUCCGGUAGGGGGAGACUGGAAUUCCUGGUGUAGCGGUGGAAUGCGCAGAUAUCAGGAGGAACACCGGUGGCGAAGGCGGGUCUCUGGGCCGGAACUGACGCUGAGGAGCGAAAGCGUGGGGAGCGAACAGGGAUUUAGAUACCCCUGGGUAGUCCACGCCGUAAACGAUGAGUGCUAGAUGUU